AAUCUUCGGGGCAGAGUGAAACUCUCUACCGGCGGUAAAGUCCGCAAGCCAUGAGCAUGAAUCGGUGGAAUUCCGAUACCGACGGUAAAAGUCCGGAUGAAAGAAGAU
rnacentral:ncRNA from 1 species